rnacentral:rRNA from 1 species
UACGUAGGGGGCAAGCGUUGUCCGGAUUUAUUGGGCGUAAAGAGCGUGUAGGCGGCUAUACAGGUCCGCUGUGAAAACUCGAGGCUCAACCUCGAGACGUCGGUGGAAACCGUAUGGCUAGAGUCCGGAAGAGGAGAGUGGAAUUCCUGGUGUAGCGGUGAAAUGCGUAGAUAUCUGGAGGAACACCGGUGGCGAAGGCGGCAUCCUGGACCGAGAUUGACGCUGAUGCGCGAAAGCCAGGGGAGCAAACGGG